rnacentral:lncRNA from 1 species
AAGAAACCCUCUUCUUACCUUUAUUAGCUCCCCAACCUUGGGGAGAGAUAUCCACGAUCAUUGAUCAUUCCCCACCCUACAGAGACCCCCACACAAACACACACCAAUGGACCAGUGGGCCCCAAGGGGGCAAGGUGCUGGUCCCCUCCCCCCAACCUUGACCCUUAAGGGCUUAACCCCUGUCCAGGGGCCUGUAACUAGGGGUCCUGUCAGGCAGGGGUCCUGGGUUCUGUGCUCCUUGGGGAACAGGAAUGGCCCCACCGUCUUCUACAUAUGUUGCUUCUGAACCACAAGCUGUAUAAAAUUGAUGUUUUUUUUUU